GGGGUUGUGGCUCAGUGGUAGAGUGCUCGCCUAGCAUGUGUGAGUCACUGGGUUCGACUCUCAGCACCACA
rnacentral:tRNA from 1 species